UUUGGCUGGGGACUCUAUGGACAGGUACUCUGGGAAGCUAUCCUUUUUGCAGUGACUUAAUUUUUUUUUUUCUUUGCCCUGAAUAAUUUCUUGUACAUGUACCAAUAUAUGCAUGCACUUGUGCAUUUGAAGAAUUUCUUGUGUCUGUUCAACAUAUUCCAAAGUGCUGAUUAUAGUUUUCAUUCAACAUGAUACUUGGUUGUGUUUAUGUUAAUCUUGAUUCUGUUCUUCUGCUGUAUCAGCUCAGUAAACGUUAUUUUGCAGAAGCAUCACUGUUUAAUUAAUUGUCUUUUGUUUAAGUUAUUUGAAAAAUCCAACAGAUCCACCUGAUGUUAUUCACCAUUUGAUUGAUUAGUUACUGUACUGUCUUGCUGAAUGUUGGGUCAAUAUCUAGCAACAUUUUAGCUACUAAUGAAGGCUAUUAACAUUGUAGCAUGUAGCCUAAGUUUGUAGAUAUGUCUUCUGGUGUAGACCAAGCACCCACCAGUGACUAAUUGACUUAAGCAAACAUAAAUAACAGACUCUGUAAAGACCAUAAAAUAAUAAAUCCCAACUAACCACUAUGAAUUCUAGAAUUCAACUGUAAGCUUGUUGAGUCUUUUGAUCUUUCACGAUCCUUGUUUUUUGUUUGCAUAAAAUAAUCAUUUGAAGUAUUCCUUGAAUGAUGAAUAUUGAGAUUGGUCCCUACAGUAAUCAAUACAUGCUUGUUUAUAAUAAUACCAAUAACAAUAAUUGUUUGAAUAUUGAAACUGAUAUGAUCAACCAACUGUUUUGCCUGUUCUUGUGUUUAUUUUUUCUUCACAUAUGAAUUCUUGAUUAUCAAACUCAUAGGUGCUAACUUUGGAAUUGAGUAAUCAAUCUUCCUAAAAUAUAUUUUCUUAAAGCUGUAAACUUCUGCAUUAACUGCUUGUUCGAAAUGUCAAUAUUUGUAUCCUUGACUGACACUGGUUGGAGUUUUGGAGAUUAACUUUUGUUCAGGAUCACCAUCUAAGUAAAGUAGAUAAUGGUGGAGAAUAAAGCACUGUAGAUGUUGAAGAUGAGGUUCACCUAAUGGGGGAUAAUCUACUUGAUUUGUUUUAAAAUGCUUAUCUCCUAUUUUCUUGUGACUAGUUUCAUUGUUGCAUGUUUUAGUAUAUCAUGAAAUAAGGAGUAAAAUUAGUUUUGAUAUCACAUUGUUUUUGUAA
rnacentral:misc_RNA from 1 species